GCGACCGCACACAGUUUAUUGAUACACCGCCAGCACAGCACAGGGUUGCUCGGGGACGGGGGGGGUUGUUCUCUUCUACCGUUACAGCGUGCAUCGGGUACACAGAGACCGGGGAGCGGGCCGGCACGCGAGCGCCAUGCUGCCGACGGCUCAUGCUGGGGGGGCGGGAGAGCGGGGGUGUGUGUGGGGGGGUCCGCAGGGUGCCCCGC